UCUUCUAUGUUCAAUAACCGACGAUCUG
rnacentral:sRNA from 1 species